GACGAACGCUGGCGGCGUGCUUAACACAUGCAAGUCGAACGGAGAUUAAGAGGAAGCUUGCGAAUCUUAAUUUUAGUGGCGGACGGGUGAGUAACGCGUGGGCAACCUACCUAUUAGUGGGGGAUAACAGUUGGAAACGACUGCUAAUACCGCAUAAGCUGAAAAAGACGCAUGUUUUUUUCAGGGAAGAUGGCCUCUGAAUAUGCUAUCGCUAGUAGAUGGGCCCGCGUCUGAUUAGCUAGUUGGUGGGGUAACGGCCUACCAAGGCUGCGAUCAGUAGCCGGCCUGAGAGGGUGGACGGCCACACUGGGACUGAGACACGGCCCAGACUCCUACGGGAGGCAGCAGUGGGGAAUAUUGCGCAAUGGGGGAAACCCUGACGCAGCGACGCCGCGUGAGCGAUGAAGGCUUUAGGGUCGUAAAGCUCUGUUGUAAGGGAAGAAUGUCGGAAGUGAUAAUACCGCUUUCGAAUGACGGUACCUUACGAGUAAGCCCCGGCUAACUACGUGCCAGCAGCCGCGGUAAGACGUAGGGGGCGAGCGUUGUCCGGAAUUACUGGGCGUAAAGAGCACGUAGGCGGAUAUUUAAGUCAGGUGUGAAAGACCGCAGCUCAACUGCGGGGUUGCACCUGAAACUGGGUAUCUUGAGGGCAGGAGAGGGAAGUGGAAUUCCUGGUGUAGCGGUGAAAUGCGUAGAAAUCAGGAGGAACACCAGUGGCGAAGGCGACUUUCUGGACUGACCCUGACGCUGAGGUGCGAAAGCGUGGGUAGCAAACAGGAUUAGAUACCCUGGUAGUCCACGCCGUAAACGAUGGAUACUAGGUGUAGGAGGUAUCGACCCCUUCUGUGCCGCAGCUAACGCAAUAAGUAUCCCGCCUGGGGAGUACGGUCGCAAGGCUGAAACUCAA
rnacentral:rRNA from 1 species